rnacentral:rRNA from 1 species
UUUGAUCAUGGCUCAGAUUGAACGCUGGCGGCAGGCCUAACACAUGCAAGUCGAGCGGUAGCACAAGAGAGCUUGCUCUCUGGGGUGACGAGCGGCGGACGGGUGAGUAAUGUCUGGGAAACUGCCUGAUGGCGGGGGAUAACUAGUGGAAACGGUAGCUAAUACCGCAUAACGUCGCAAGACCAAAGUGGGGGACCUUCGGGCCUCACGCCAUCAGAUGUGCCCAGGUGGGAUUAGCUGGUAGGUGGGGUAACGGCUCACCUAGGCGACGAUCCCUAGCUGGUCUGAGAGGAUGACCAGCCACACUGGAACUGAGACACGGUCCAGACUCCUACGGGAGGCAGCAGUGGGGAAUAUUGCACAAUGGGCGCAAGCCUGAUGCAGCCAUGCCGCGUGUGUGAAGAAGGCCUUCGGGUUGUAAAGCACUUUCAGCGAGGAGGAAGGGUAAUGUG